UACGUAGGGACCGAGCGUUGUCCGGAAUCAUUGGGCGUAAAGGGUGCGUAGGCGGCUUCCUAAGUUUGAUGUGAAAUCCUGGGGCUCAACCCUGGAACUGCAUUGAAUACUGGGAGGCUAGAGUACUGGAGAGGAAACUGGAAUUUACGGUGUAGCAGUGAAAUGCGUAGAGAUCGUAAGGAAGACCAGUGGCGAAGGCGAGUUUCUGGACAGUUACUGACGCUGAGGCACGAAGGCCAGGGGAGCAAACGGG
rnacentral:rRNA from 1 species